GCACAAGCGGUGGAGUAUGUGGUUUAAUUCGAUGCAACGCGAAGAACCUUACCUGGUCUUGACAUCCCGGAGACCCUUAGGAAACUAGGGGUGCCUCCAUCUGGAAGAAUCUGGAGACAGGUGCUGCAUGGCUGUCGUCAGCUCGUGUCGUGAGAUGUUGGGUUAAGUCCCGCAACGAGCGCAACCCUUGCCUUUAGUUGCCAGCAGUUCGGCUGGGCACUCUAAAGGGACUGCCGGUGUUAAACCGGAGGAAGGUGGGGAUGACGUCAAGUCCUCAUGGCCUUUAUGACCAGGGCUACACACGUACUACAAUGGCCGAUACAAAGGGCAGCGACACUGCGAGGUGAAGCCAAUCCCGUAAAAUCGGUCUCAGUCCGGAUUGGAGUCUGCAACUCGACUCCAUGAAGUUGGAAUCGCUAGUAAUCGUGGAUCAGCAUGCCACGGUGAAUACGUUCCCGGGCCUU
rnacentral:rRNA from 1 species